rnacentral:rRNA from 1 species
AGUGAACGCUGGCGGUAGGCCUAACACAUGCAAGUCGAACGGCAGCACAGUAAGAGCUUGCUCUUACGGGUGGCGAGUGGCGGACGGGUGAGGAAUACAUCGGAAUCUACUUUUUCGUGGGGGAUAACGUAGGGAAACUUACGCUAAUACCGCAUACGACCUACGGGUGAAAGCAGGGGAUCUUCGGACCUUGCGCGAUUGAAUGAGCCGAUGUCGGAUUAGCUAGUUGGCGGGGUAAAGGCCCACCAAGGCGACGAUCCGUAGCUGGUCUGAGAGGAUGAGCAGGCAGACUGGAACUGUGACACGGUCCGGACUCCUACGGGAGGCAGCAUUGGGGAAUAUUUGAAAAUGGGCGCAAGCUUGAUCCAGCCAUACCGCGUGAGUGAAGAGGGGCUUCGUGUUUUAAAGCCCUUUUGUGGGGAAAGAAAAGCAGCAGGUUAAUACCCCGCUGUUCUGACGUUACCCAAAGAAUAAGCACCGGCUAACUUCGUG